CUGGGAAAGACCAGAGAUCCUGCUGUCUCCUCAGCAUCAUUCCAGGCACAGAACGCCAGAAAAUGGA
rfam:Dengue virus 2 isolate DENV-2/NI/BID-V2344/2000, complete genome.